AUGCACCAGAUACUGACCUGACUGCCUGCGGCUCAGUUGAGUUCAUACUGAUGCGUGCAUGACUGUGGCCGUCAGGUCCAGAAUGGUGCUACAGAAAUGCAAGACCCUGAGAUUUAAGCUCUGAGCGGGGAGUCACUCUCUCAGGUGUUAUAACUCUAGGGCACAUUA